UACGAAGGGGGCUAGCGUUGCUCGGAAUCACUGGGCGUAAAGCGCACGUAGGCGGGUCGUUAAGUCGGGGGUGAAAUCCUGGAGCUCAACUCCAGAACUGCCUUCGAUACUGGCGAUCUUGAGUCUGGGAGAGGUGAGUGGAACUCCGAGUGUAGAGGUGAAAUUCGUAGAUAUUCGGAAGAACACCAGUGGCGAAGGCGGCUCACUGGCCCGGUACUGACGCUGAGGUGCGAAAGCGUGAGGAGCAAACAGG
rnacentral:rRNA from 1 species